ensembl:lncRNA
UUUUGUUUGUUUUUUUUUUCCUUUUUUCCCUCAGCUGUAGGUCACUGUUGCUUCUCAGAGUGGAUGAGACAGUUCCUUUGCUUGUAGACGUUUAUUCGGGAUUUUUCAGGAGCAAGUGGCUAAGAAUGGCAUGCUGAGAGUUUGGAAACAAUCUGCAUCAGCAACAAAGGGAGAUGCCUGCUGCUUUGCAAGCAACACAGAAAAUAUGCCAGCCAUGCAGAGCUCUCUAUCGCGAUGUGUGCUGCUGAUACUGCAGCUCAGCAGCAUGAUUGAGAAUGUGGUCCCCAUUAUGAAGACUGAAGGCUGUGGAGUACAGAGUCUGGGACUGUUCUGACAGCCUACUGGACUUUCCUUGACUUGGGUUAUAAUCCUCAUGCAAUAAAUUGGCCUGUUGGCUUUAGCUGGUUCCUCUU